rnacentral:rRNA from 1 species
GAUGAACGCUAGCGGCGGGCUUAAUACAUGCAAGUCGAGGGGCAGCAUGAUUGUAGCAAUACAAUUGAUGGCGACCGGCAAACGGGUGCGGAACACGUACACAACCUUCCAACAAGUGGGGGAUAGCCCAGAGAAAUUUGGAUUAAUACCCCGUAACAUAGCGAUGUGGCAUCACAUUGCUAUUAUAGAUUUUUCGCUUGUUGAUGGGUGUGCGGCUGAUUAGAUAGUUGGCGGGGUAACGGCCCACCAAGUCUACGAUCAGUAGCUGAUGUGAGAGCAUGAUCAGCCACACGGGCACUGAGACACGGGCCCGACUCCUACGGGAGGCAGCAGUAAGGAAUAUUGGACAAUGGACGCAAGUCUGAUCCAGCCAUGCCGCGUGAAGGAUUAAGGUCCUCUGGAUUGUAAACUUCUUUUAUAAGGGACGAAAAAAGGCUUUUCUAAGUCGUCUGACGGUACCUUAUGAAUAAGCACCGGCUAACUCCGUGCCAGCCGCCGCUGUAAGAC